rnacentral:hammerhead_ribozyme from 1 species
AUCCAGACAAUGAGUCCCAAAUGGGACGAAACGCGCAUCCUGGAU